GGCCCAUUCGUCUAGUGGACCAGGACGCCGCCCUCUCAAGGCGGAGAUCGCGGGUUCGAACCCCGCAUGGGCCA
rnacentral:tRNA from 1 species